GAAUAAACUUGAACAGGCUGUUGCUGGUCUUCUCGCCGAGGACAUGUGCACGCUUGUCAUCUUUAUCAUUUCUCCAACUGUGCACGUAUUUUUGUAGACCUUGGAGGGGGGAUGGAAUUCGUUCCGAGUGGGGACUGCUGUGCUUCAAACACAAGAGGUCGGCUUUCCCUUUGAAAGGUCUAUGUCAUUUUUGAACAACCGAUAUGUCUAGAAUGUUUGAAAUGAAUAAAAGUUAUAAAAAACAACUUUCAGCAACGGAUCUCUUGGCUCUCGCAUCGAUGAAGAACGCAGCGAAAUGCGAUAAGUAAUGUGAAUUGCAGAAUUUCAGUGAAUCAUCGAAUCUUUGAACGCAUCUUGCGCUCCUUGGUAUUCCGAGGAGCAUGCCUGUUUGAGUGUCAUUUUGAACUCUCAAAGCCCACAUUUUCGAUGUGGCUUUGGACUUGGGGGCUUUUGCAGGCUUUCAACAGAAAGGCCUGCUCCCUUGAAAUUCAUUAGUGGUAUCUGGAGCGGAAACCGCUAGGUGUUGAUAACAUUCAUCUAUGCCUUUGGGUAUGCCGCGCAAA
rnacentral:rRNA from 1 species